rnacentral:rRNA from 1 species
GAAAGGCCCUUCGGGGUACUCGAGCGGCGAACGGGUGAGUAACACGUGAGCAACCUGCCCUAGGCUUUGGGAUAACCCUCGGAAACGGGGGCUAAUACCGAAUAUUACCUCUUGUCGCAUGGUGGGGGGUGGAAAGUUUUUCGGCCUGGGAUGGGCUCGCGGCCUAUCAGCUUGUUGGUGGGGUGAUGGCCUACCAAGGCGACGACGGGUAGCCGGCCUGAGAGGGCGACCGGCCACACUGGGACUGAGACACGGCCCAGACUCCUACGGGAGGCAGCAGUGGGGAAUAUUGCACAAUGGGCGGAAGCCUGAUGCAGCGACGCCGCGUGAGGGAUGACGGCCUUCGGGUUGUAAACCUCUUUCAGCAGGGACGAAGCGUAAGUGACGGUACCUGCAGAACAAGCACCGGCCAACUACGUGCCAGCAGCCGCGGUAAGACGUAGGGUGCGAGCGUUGUCCGGAUUUAUUGGGCGUAAAGAGCUCGUAGGCGGCUUGUCGCGUCGACCGUGAAAACUUGGGGCUCAACCCCAAGCCUGCGGUCGAUACGGGCAGGCUAGAGUUCGGUAGGGGAGACUGGAAUUCCUGGUGUAGCGGUGAAAUGCGCAGAUAUCAGGAGGAACACCGGUGGCGAAGGCGGGUCUCUGGGCCGAUACUGACGCUGAGGAGCGAAAGCGUGGGGAGCGAACAGGAUUAGAUACCCUGGUAGUCCACGCUGUAAACGUUGGGCGCUAGGUGUGGGGGGCCUCUCCGGUUCUCUGUGCCGCAGCUAAC